ACGAACGCUGGCGGCGUGCUUAACACAUGCAAGUCGAACGGAAAGGCCCUGCUUUUGUGGGGUGCUCGAGUGGCGAACGGGUGAGUAACACGUGAGUAACCUGCCCUUGACUUUGGGAUAACUUCAGGAAACUGGGGCUAAUACCGGAUAGGAGCUCCUGCUGCAUGGUGGGGGUUGGAAAGUUUCGGCGGUUGGGGAUGGACUCGCGGCUUAUCAGCUUGUUGGUGGGGUAGUGGCUUACCAAGGCUUUGACGGGUAGCCGGCCUGAGAGGGUGACCGGCCACAUUGGGACUGAGAUACGGCCCAGACUCCUACGGGAGGCAGCAGUGGGGAAUAUUGCACAAUGGGCGGAAGCCUGAUGCAGCAACGCUGCGUGCGGGAUGACGGCCUUCGGGUUGUAAACCGCUUUCGCCUGUGACGAAGCGUGAGUGACGGUAAUGGGUAAAGAAGCACCGGCUAACUACGUG
rnacentral:rRNA from 1 species